AUACGGAGGAUCCGAGCGUUAUCCGGAUUUAUUGGGUUUAAAGGGAGCGUAGGUGGACAGUUAAGUCAGUUGUGAAAGUUUGCGGCUCGACCGUAAAAUUGCAGUUGAUACUGGCUGUCUUGAGUACAGUAGAGGUGGGCGGAAUUCGUGGUGUAGCGGGGAAAUGCUUAGAUAUCACGAAGAACUCCGAUUGCGAAGGCAGCUCACUGGACUGCAACUGACACUGAUGCUCGAAAGUGUGGGUAUCAAACAGGAUUAGAUACCCUGGUAGUCCACACAGUAAACGAUGAAUACUCGCAGUUUGCGAUAUACAGUAAGCGGCCAAGCGAAAGCAUUAAGUAUUCCACCUGGGGAGUACGCCGGCAACGGUGAAACUCAAAGGAAUUGACGGGG
rnacentral:rRNA from 1 species